UUUAUAUGAAGCAUGUUAAUCUGUAUAACAUGUGAAAGGUACUGUGAGAAUGAAAUUAAAUAGUACCUCAGCUUUAUUCUAAAAUUUUACAAUGGCAAUAAUGUAUAAAUCCAAACCAUUAAACCAGAAUAUGAUCUUGUCUGGUGCUCAUCUAAUGUAUAUUGUAUACAAACCUUUGGGUAAGCGUUGAUUAUUAAUAUUAAAGUUAUUAUUAGACGUUUGGUGAUGAAAUGCUGUGCAAAACCCCUUUAAAUUUGGUCGUUCUUUUGUUCUAACACCAGAGGGCAUUUACCAAAAGACGGCUUAUAUAACUCGGGUUUGGAGUUAAUCAGCCUAUAGCGAAAAUUAAUUGUAUCAGGUUUUACAUUUUGUGUUGUAUAGUUUGAACUGCAUAGGAAAAUAUACGGACUAUAAAUGAUGUGGGAAGUAAGGGACUGAGAGCUUGUCACUGUGUAAACUAUCAAUACAAAUACUUUUGCAUCUGAA